CUUGGGCUGGAUUCACACGUUAGGCCCACGAAUAUUUGGCAGCCCUAUUUUAGACGACUCAUCCCUGGGCGAGUCAAGAUCAAGCUCAUCAACUAGAAGAAAUUGAGAGGAAGUGGUAUGGAGAAGAGGCAUAUUUCGGUUUUUGCGUGAAUCUAACGCCUAGCUAUUGCUCUUGCUGUUGCGUAUGCGGUUCGUUAGAUUCACGCACAAACCCGUAAUAUGUCUUUUCGUUGUUUUUUCCCCUGCAAUUCGGAUUUGCUGCUGUUCAUCGGGUUAGAUGAACUAGAUCUGCUUUGAAUCCAUUGGAAAUGAUCUGUGAAUGAAGGUACGAACUAUCCACUAUCUGUUUUGAGUUUGAGGUUAUGCAUUAUUCUGCAUUCUUGCUGUGAACUUAAGCUUCUUCCCUUUCUAAAACUAUACAGAUGACAUUUUGCUUGAGAAUUUAAUUUUUUAACAUAUGAACAAAGGAUUUAAAUGUUUAUUCCUGCUGCUCUUUGGCAAGACUCUGGAAUAUAUUCAGCUCCAAUUGAUGUAACAGUAUUUCUGAGGCCUAGUUAUGAUGAUGAGAAAUAAUAUCAAUCAUUUCUUCUAAAUGAAAAGAUGAAUGUAAAUUUUAGCAUUUAUUUGAAUGAGUAAUAAAUAAGGAUUUACCUAUAUUUCACACGUCAGAGUGAUGACGUGACCAGCAUACUGAUUUCAUUCACCUGAAUCCUUUGUUAUCUAUGCCUCUGCCUCUGUUAAUUUCUUAAUUAUAAAGAUUUUCUACCUGCAGCACUGAGUAAAUCAUUUUCCAUUAUUUCUACAGUAGGCCUUGUGUGAUCAGGCUUAUUUCAUUUUUUAAUGCUUAGUACUAGUCGUUCUGUGUUUCUUUUCUAAGUGCAAUCUGAAAGUUAAGAUUAGGAAAGAACAACAAUUUCAUCAAGUAAUUCAUAUUACAAGUUGACCCGACAAACCUUCUCUGGCCUCUAGCAUCUAAGUUUGCACAUUAUUCCUGUUUUUAUAAUGAUCUAACUCAUCUAUAUGGUUUUGGGGAAAGAUGUUGCUCAGAUCUUUGUCUGAACUGUAAUAUCUGAGUUCGGGUCUUUAAAACUAAGAUGUCUUAGAAGAGUAUUGGGAUUUCUUUCUAGCA